UACGAAGGGGGCUAGCGUUGUUCGGAAUUACUGGGCGUAAAGGGCGCGUAGGCGGUGUGCCAAGUCAGGCGUGAAAGCCCCGGGCUCAACCUGGGAACCGCGCUUGAGACUGGCACGCUAGAGUUCGGGAGAGGAUGGUGGAAUUCCCAGUGUAGAGGUGAAAUUCGUAGAUAUUGGGAAGAACACCGAUGGCGAAGGCAGCCAUCUGGACCGACACUGACGCUGAGGCGCGAAAGCGUGGGGAGCAAACAGG
rnacentral:rRNA from 1 species